GUGCCAGCAGCCGCGGUAAUACGUAGGGUGCGAGCGUUGUCCGGAAUUAUUGGGCGUAAAGAGCUCGUAGGCGGCCUGUUGCGUCUGCUGUGAAAGCCCGGGGCUUAACCCCGGGUCUGCAGUGGAUACGGGCAGGCUAGAGUUCGGCAGGGGAGACUGGAAUUCCUGGUGUAGCGGUGAAAUGCGCAGAUAUCAGGAGGAACACCGGUGGCGAAGGCGGGUCUCUGGGCCGAUACUGACGCUGAGGAGCGAAAGCGUGGGGAGCGAACAGGAUUAGAUACCCCCGUAGUCC
rnacentral:rRNA from 1 species